rnacentral:rRNA from 1 species
GAUGAACGCUGGCGGCGUGCCUAAUACAUGCAAGUCGAACGAGGACCCUUUGUAUUCGUACGGAGGAAUCCUAGUGGCGAACGGGUGAGUAACGCGUUGGUGACCUGCCCCGAAGAGGGGGAUAACAGCUCGAAAGGGCUGCUAAUACCCCAUGUGGUCACGAAGAUUAGAGGCUUUGUUACUAAAGGAGUGAUCCGCUUCGGGAGGGACCUGCGUCCCAUCAGCUAGUUGGUAGGGUAAUGGCCUACCAAGGCAAUGACGGGUAGGGGGCCUGAGAGGGUGGCCCCCCACACUGGCACUGAAACACGGGCCAGACACCUACGGGUGGCAGCAGUAGGGAAUAUUGCACAAUGGGCGAAAGCCUGAUGCAGCAACGCCGCGUGCACGAUGAAGGCUUUCGGGUUGUAAAGUGCUUUUCUGGAGGAAGAGAAAGGACGGUACUCCAGGAAUAAGUCUCGGCUAACUACGUG